GAUGAACGCUGGCGGCGUGCUUAACACAUGCAAGUCGAACGAUGAAGCCCAGCUUGCUGGGUGGAUUAGUGGCGAACGGGUGAGUAACACGUGAGUAACCUGCCCUUAACUCUGGGAUAAGCCUGGGAAACUGGGUCUAUACCGGAUAGGAGCGUCCACCGCAUGGUGGGUGUUGGAAAGAUUUAUCGGUUUUGGAUGGACUCGCGGCCUAUCAGCUUGUUGGUGAGGUAAUGGCUCACCAAGGCGACGACGGGUAGCCGGCCUGAGAGGGUGACCGGCCACACUGGGACUGAGACACGGCCCAGACUCCUACGGGAGGCAGCAGUGGGGAAUAUUGCACAAUGGGCGCAAGCCUGAUGCAGCGACGCCGCGUGAGGGAUGACGGCCUUCGGGUUGUAAACCUCUUUCAGUAGGGAAGAAGCGAAAGUGACGGUACCUGCAGAAGAAGCACCGGCUAACUACGUG
rnacentral:rRNA from 1 species